rnacentral:rRNA from 1 species
CCUACGGGAGGCAGCAGUGGGGAAUUUUGGACAAUGGGGGCAACCCUGAUCCAGCAAUGCCGCGUGAGUGAAGAAGGCCUUCGGGUUGUAAAGCUCUUUUGUCAGGGAAGAAACAGCAGCUCUAACACAGCUGUGAAUGACGGUACCUGAAGAAUAAGCACCGGCUAACUACGUGCCAGCAGCCGCGGUAAUACGUAGGGUGCAAGCGUUAAUCGGAAUUACUGGGCGUAAAGCGUGCGCAGGCGGUUAUAUAAGACAGGUGUGAAAUCCCCGGGCUUAACCUGGGAAUUGCAUCUGUGACUGUAUAGCUAGAGUGUGUCAGAGGGGGGUAGAAUUCCACGUGUAGCAGUGAAAUGCGUAGAUAUGUGGAGGAAUACCAAUGGCGAAGGCAGCCCCCUGGGAUAACACUGACGCUCAUGCACGAAAGCGUGGGGAGCAAACAGGAUUAGAUACCCUGGUAGUCCACGCCCUAAACGAUGCCGACUAGUUGUUCGGGAUUUUAUCCUGAGUAACGUAGCUAACGCGUGAAGUCNGCGCGNGGNGAGCGCGAGAGUAAACGUUAAAGUAAGUAGNGNGNGAGAGNGCGACGACGACGACGAGGGAGGAGG